AAAUUGAAGAGUUUGAUCAUGGCUCAGAUUGAACGCUGGCGGCAGGCCUAACACAUGCAAGUCGAACGGUAGCACAGAGAGCUUGCUCUCGGGUGACGAGUGGCGGACGGGUGAGUAAUGUCUGGGAAACUGCCUGAUGGAGGGGGAUAACUACUGGAAACGGUGGCUAAUACCGCAUAACGUCGCAAGACCAAAGAGGGGGACCUUCGGGCCUCUUGCCAUCAGAUGUGCCCAGAUGGGAUUAGCUUGUUGGUGAGGUAACGGCUCACCAAGGCGACGAUCCCUAGCUGGUCUGAGAGGAUGACCAGCCACACUGGAACUGAGACACGGUCCAGACUCCUACGGGAGGCAGCAGUGGGGAAUAUUGCACAAUGGGCGCAAGCCUGAUGCAGCCAUGCCGCGUGUAUGAAGAAGGCCUUCGGGUUGUAAAGUACUUUCAGCGGGGAGGAAGGUGUUGUGGUUAAUAACCACAGCAAUUGACGUUACCCGCAGAAGAAGCACCGGCUAACUCCGUGCCA
rnacentral:rRNA from 1 species